CACGGCCCUCGGUAGGAAAACCAACCCCAUCCCCUUGUGUAGAGCGAAAAACCCCUCCGGGGGUGCUUUUCGGGGAGGUCGGGGGUCGCUGUUUGCGGGGCAGCCCGCGCCCAGGGUCGCGUCUCGCCGCUCCAGCGCCGUCGCGGGGCUCCCCCCGCAGCCCUUCCGCCCCCGCCGGCUCCUUAAUGAACCCCGCCGAGGAUUGCCCUCGUGCUCGCCGCGCCGAACCCGCGCCUGCCGCUGGAAAAUCCCGAGCCAUUGCUGGAGCGAGGAGUCCAUAUAAGGCUGGUCCCCACACAUGAACCUGCCGAGAGGAGCGAGAAAAAAAACCUACAUUAAACCCAGGAAAGGUUGGCCACGUGUGGGCGGGUCUUGGAAGUCAAGUGGAUGAAGACAGUGUUUGCAGAUGUGAAAUUGCGGGUUUUGGGCGAGCUCCGAGCUUCCACCAUUGGUGAUGAGUGGUAUAACGUGACCUGGGGAAGGAUGGAGAGGGGCAAAGAAGGGGGUCCUUCCCUAGGCAAGGCCGGCCCCCCAGGUGUCACCAUGCUCGCACACACCCCACGGAGCCCGCAGCAUUCCCGGCCGCGGGUGCGGCCCUGGGGGCUCCCUCUGCCCGGCGCGGGAUGCAGAAACCUCCCCCCAGCUUCUCUCUGUCUGCCACCAACUUUGAUUUUCAUUUCCUUUCUCCCUUCCUUCCUCCUGCUCCCUGCACCCGCCCAGGAGCCUCGGCCGUGCGCACCCUCACGGGGCAGGGCCCGGACCGUCUUCCUUUCCCCCUUCUUUCCUUCCUUCCCCUUCCAUCUCUUUCCCUCUUCCGUCCCUUUUCUUUUUCUCUAAUUUUUCAUCCCUCUGCCUUUCCCGAGCCCUUCCCGGGCCGGGCCGGAGCGCGGGGGUGACGAAGAUGCGCGGGGGUGACCGAGAUGCGCGGGGCGACGCGGGCCGCGGGGUUUGUGCAAUCUGGGAAGGGGCUUCCCCCCAGCGCCCUCAUUUCUGGGCGACAAAAGUUGCCCGAGUUUCCCUCCCCGCGUGGUGGGGGGAAGGAGCCGCAACGCCGCGGGCCGCGCUGGGGAGACGCCGCCUCAGCCUUCCUCCUCCGCGCCCGGCCAUGGAUCCGCACCUUCCCCUCGUCUCCCUCGCCGCUCCCCCCACUUUUGCUGCCCCAGCCCCCAGCCUGCCUCCCAUAAAGUAUGUGAUGUGGCUGACAAUGCCCAGGGAUUUUUCCCCCCCCCUCCUUUUUUUUUUUUUUAAGCGAGCCCCUGCGCGCAUCCUGGGUGGUCGGCCCCGCGCAAACACAAAUACAACCCGACGGCUAAGCUGGGGACAAUGUCCGCAAUGUAGACAAAUGUCCGGCUCCUGUUGGAACCCUUUGUCUCGGCGCAGUUUUUGCAUUUAUUUCAGUGGCGAAAUAAUACGUGAUUGACGCCCUCUUUCAGCGCGCCCUAACUGUUGGGAAUAAAUCUGAGGUUGUUCCUAGUUGU